rnacentral:rRNA from 1 species
UACGGAGGGGGCUAGCGUUGUUCGGAAUUACUGGGCGUAAAGAGCGUGUAGGCGGCCAGGUAGGUCCGUUGUGAAAACUGGAGGCUUAACCUCCAGCUGUCGAUGGAAACCAUCUGGCUAGAGUCCGGAAGAGGAGAGUGGAAUUCCUGGUGUAGCGGUGAAAUGCGCAGAUAUCAGGAAGAACACCCGUGGCGAAGGCGGCUCUCUGGGACGGUACUGACGCUGAGACGCGAAAGCGUGGGGAGCGAACAGG